AAUCAACGCUGGCGACGUGCCUCAGACAUGCAAGUCGAACGAUUAAAGCUCUCUUCGGAGAGUGCAUAGAGUGGCGCACGGGUGAGUAACACGUAAGUAAUCUACCCUCGAGUGGGGAAUAACGUCCGGAAACGGACGCUAAUACCGCAUAAUGCAGCGGCACCGCACGGUGACAGUUGUUAAAGAUUUAUCGCUUGAGGAGGAGCUUGCGGCAGAUUAGCUAGUUGGUAAGGUAAUGGCUUACCAAGGCUACGAUCUGUAACCGGUCUAAGAGGACGGUCGGUCACACUGACACUGAAUAACGGGUCAGACUCCUACGGGAGGCAGCAGUCGGGAAUUUUGGGCAAUGGGCGAAAGCCUGACCCAGCAACGCCGCGUGAAGGAUGAAGUAUUUCGGUAUGUAAACUUCGAAAGAAUAGGAAGAAUUAAUGACGGUACUAUUUAUAAGGUCCGGCUAACUACGUGCCAGCAGCCGCAGUAAUAC
rnacentral:rRNA from 1 species